rnacentral:rRNA from 1 species
AGCCGAAGGGAAACCGAGUCUUAACCGGGCGUUAAGUUGCAGGGUAUAGACCCGAAACCCGGUGAUCUAGCCAUGGGCAGGUUGAAGGUUGGGUAACACUAACUGGAGGACCGAACCGACUAAUGUUGAAAAAUUAGCGGAUGACCUGUGGCUGGGGGUGAAAGGCCAAUCAAACCGGGAGAUAGCUGGUUCUCCCCGAAAGCUAUUUAGGUAGCGCCUCGUGAAUUCAUCUCCGGGGGUAGAGCACUGUUUCGGCUAGGGGGCCAUCCCGGCUUACCAACCCGAUGCAAACUGCGAAUACCGGAGAAUGUUAUCACGGGAGACACACGGCGGGUGCUAACGUCCGUCGUGAAGAGGGAAACAACCCAGACCGCCAGCUAAGGUCCCAAAGUCAUGGUUAAGUGGGAAACGAUGUGGGAAGGCCCAGACAGCCAGGAUGUUGGCUUAGAAGCAGCCAUCAUUUAAAGAAAGCGUAAUAGCUCACUGGUCGAGUCGGCCUGCGCGGAAGAUGUAACGGGGCUAAACCAUGCACCGAAGCUGCGGCAGCGAACGUAUCACUUAAAGCGAUUCAGCGGGUUACGAUUGACGGAGCGAAGCGACGUCAAAGCGUAUACAAAGUCGAGUCGGUUUAAGGAUACGUUCGUUGGGUAGGGGAGCGUUCUGUAAGCCUGUGAAGGUGUGUCGUGAGGCAUGCUGGAGGUAUCAG